UACGAAGGGGGCUAGCGUUGUUCGGAAUUACUGGGCGUAAAGCGCGCGCAGGCGGUCUUCCAAGUCAGUGGUGAAAGCCCGGAGCUCAACUCCGGAACUGCCAUUGAAACUGUUAGACUUGAGGACGAGGGAGGUGAGUGGAAUUCCCAGUGUAGAGGUGAAAUUCGUAGAUAUUGGGAAGAACACCGGUGGCGAAGGCGGCUCACUGGCUCGUUUCUGACGCUCAGGCGCGACAGCGUGGGGAUCAGACAGG
rnacentral:rRNA from 1 species